UGUCCGGGCGUAUCGACUGGUACUCGCGAUGCAUCUAGAUUAGAGUUUGAUCCUGGCUCAGAUUGAACGCUGGCGGCAGGCUUAACACAUGCAAGUCGAGCGGGCGAGGUUGCUUCGGUAACUGAGCUAGCGGCGGACGGGUGAGUAAUGCUUAGGAAUCUGCCUAUUAGUGGGGGACAACAUUCCGAAAGGGAUGCUAAUACCGCAUACGUCCUACGGGAGAAAGCAGGGGCUCUUUAUGACCUUGCGCUAAUAGAUGAGCCUAAGUCGGAUUAGCUAGUUGGUGGGGUAAAGGCCUACCAAGGCGACGAUCUGUAGCGGGUCUGAGAGGAUGAUCCGCCACACUGGGACUGAGACACGGCCCAGACUCCUACGGGAGGCAGCAGUGGGGAAUAUUGGACAAUGGGGGGAACCCUGAUCCAGCCAUGCCGCGUGUGUGAAGAAGGCCUUUUGGUUGUAAAGCACUUUAAGCGAGGAGGAGGCUCUCUUGGUUAAUACCUGAGAAGAGUGGACGUUACUCGCGAAUAAGCACCGGCUAACUCUGUGCCAGCAGCCGCGGUAAUACAGAGGGUGCGAGCGUUAAUCGGAUUUACUGGGCGUAAAGCGCGCGUAGGUGGCUAAUUAAGUCAAAUGUGAAAUCCCCGAGCUUAACUUGGGAAUUGCAUUCGAUACUGGUUGGCUAGAGUAUGGGAGAGGAUGGUAGAAUUCCAGGUGUAGCGGUGAAAUGCGUAGAGAUCUGGAGGAAUACCGAUGGCGAAAGGCAGCCAUCUGGCCUAAUACUGACACUGAGGUGCGAAAGCAUGGGGAGCAAACAGGAUUAGAUACCCUGGUAGUCCAUGCCGUAAACGAUGUCUACUAGCCGUUGGGGGAUUUGAUCCUUUAGCGGCGCAGCUAACGCGAUAGUAGACCGCCUGGGGGAGUACGUCGCAGACUAAAACUCAAUGAUUGACCGGGGCCGCACAGCCGUGAGCAUGGUGAUUAUUCGAUGCACGCGAAGAAACCUUACCU
rnacentral:rRNA from 1 species